ACGUGAAGCUCGCCCUGGCAACCCCACGUGCUGCGGAUUAGUGCACUUCCGGCGUGCAGAGCUGCCUGCAGUCGACUGUUUGAAGCUUCGCAGUGUUCCCGGGCGAGAUGCAUCCUCAUCUUCAGUUCGGCGCCCAGUUGACCUUGGGGACGACUAUUAGGACCAGGUAGCUUGCUCUGGGCCCUAGCACGCAGGUGCGUGGAUGCUGUCACUUAAUGGUCUUCAAACUCUCAAGUCCUGCUGAUUUUGCAAGAGUCCCGAGUGUUGGUGGAGUGGAACUUUGAUUCAAGCUUCUGGUACAGCUUGCAGCCCUCCUUGGGGCUGGAAUCCGUGCUUGGAGCUCGAAGAGUGCUAGGUGUGGUAUGCUAUUUCAUGAUUCUGCAUUGUAGAUCCUCAGAGGACUCCAGACACUAUGACGAGGUGCUGGUGAAGUCAGCAGUGUUCUCAGGGGCGGGAAAUCCCAUGUACCCGAGACUCUACGGUGACCUUUGAUCUUCCUGGCAUCGGUGUGCCCUAGAGUUUGAGGUUUUGUUUUUGUUUUUGUUGUUAAAUGAUUAAAGACAAAGAUUCUCGAGAA
rnacentral:lncRNA from 1 species